rnacentral:tRNA from 1 species
GCGGGAGUAGCUCAGUUGGUAGAGCACGACCUUGCCAAGGUCGGGGUCGCGAGUUCGAGCCUCGUCUCCCGCUCCA